UUCGCAAUGCCCGAAAGGGUGACGAAGCGACGCCGCGUGGGUGAGGAAGGCCCUCGGGUUGUAAAACCCUGUCAGGAGUUAAGAAAUGUAAGUGCGCUAAUAUCGCAUUUAUUUGACGAAGGCUCCAAAGGAAGCCACGGCUAACUCUGUGCCAGCAGCCGCGGUAAUACAGAGGUGGCAAGCGUUGUUCGGAAUUAUUGGGCGUAAAGAGCACGUAGGUGGGUUUGCAAGUCAGAUGUGAAAGCCUUCUGUUCAACGGAAGAAUUGCAUCUGAAACUGCAAGUCUUGAGUGUAGGAGGGGAGAAUGGAACUUCUGGUGGAGCGGUGAAAUGCGUAGAUAUCAGAAGGAACGCCGGCGGCGAAAGCGAUUCUCUGGCCUAUUACUGACACUCAGUGUGCGAAAGCUAGGGGAGCAAACGGGAUUAGAUACCCCGGUAGUCCUAGCCGUAAACGAUGGGCACUAAGUAGAGGGGUUUUA
rnacentral:rRNA from 1 species